UACGGGGGGGGCAAGCGUUGUUCGGAAUUAUUGGGCGUAAAGCGCGCGUAGGCGGUUAUCUAAGUCGGAUGUGAAAGCCCUCGGCUUAACUGAGGAAGUGCACCCGAAACUGGGUAGCUAGAGUACGAAAGAGGGUCGCGGAAUUCCCGGUGUAGAGGUGAAAUUCGUAGAUAUCGGGAGGAACACCGGUGGCGAAGGCGGCGACCUGGGUCGAUACUGACGCUGAGGCGCGAAAGCGUGGGGAGCAAACAGG
rnacentral:rRNA from 1 species